AAGGAAUAUUGGACAAUGGUGGCAACACUGAUCCAGCCAUGCCGCGUGAAGGAUGACGGCCCUAUGGGUUGUAAACUUCUUUUGUACGGGAAAAAACCUCUUUACGUGUAAAGAGCUGAUUGUACUGUAAGAAUAAGGAUCGGCUAACUCCGUGCCAGCAGCCGCGGUAAUACGGAGGAUCCAAGCGUUAUCCGGAUUCAUUGGGUUUAAAGGGUGCGUAGGCGGAAUGAUAAGUCAGUGGUGAAAGCCUGCAGCUUAACUGCAGAACUGCCAUUGAUACUGUCAAUCUUGAGUACAUUUGAUGUGGGCGGAAUGUGUCAUGUAGCGGUGAAAUGCUUAGAUAUGACACAGAACACCGAUUGCGAAGGCAGCUCACAAAACUGUAACUGACGCUGAGGCACGAAAGCGUGGGUAUCAAAC
rnacentral:rRNA from 1 species